rfam:Schistosoma margrebowiei strain Zambia genome assembly, scaffold: SMRZ_scaffold0005413
GUCAGGAUGGCCGAGCGGUCCAAGGCGCUGCGUUCAGGUCGCAGUCCACUCUGUGGGCGUGGGUUCGAAUCCAACUCCUGACA